rnacentral:rRNA from 1 species
UACGAGUGCCCCAAGCGUUAUCCGGAAUCAUUGGGCGUAAAGGGUGUGUAGGCGGUCUAGUUAGUCUCAUGUCAAAUUCUUCGGCUCAACCGGGGUACCGCAUGGGAAACGGCUAGACUAGAGGAUGCGAGGGGUCUGUGGAACUCAUGGAGUAGGGGUGAAAUCCGUUGAUAUCAUGGGGAACACCGAAAGCGAAGGCAGCAGACUGGCGCACUCCUGACGCUGAAACACGAAAGCGUAGGUAGCGAAUGGG